GAUGAAGAACGUAGCGAAAUGCGAUAAGUAAUGUGAAUUGCAGAAUUCAGUGAAUCAUCGAAUCUUUGAACGCACAUUGCGCCCGCCAGUAUUCUGGCGGGCAUGCCUGUCCGAGCGUCAUUUCAACCCUCGAACCCCUCCGGGGGGUCGGCGUUGGGGAUCGGCCCUUUACGGGGCCGGUCCCGAAAUACAGUGGCGGUCUCGCCGCAGCCUCUCCUGCGCAGUAGUUUGCACACUCGCAUCGGGAGCGCGGCGCGUCCAAUGCCGUAAAACACCCAACUUUCUGAAAUGUUGACCUCGGAUCAGGUAGGAAUACCCGCUGAACUUAAGCAUAUCAAUAAGCGGAGGA
rnacentral:misc_RNA from 1 species